rnacentral:lncRNA from 1 species
AUGCUUUGUGAUGUUCUGGGGAAAGGCUUUCGACUUGUUGGCUAUGCUAUUCAGUAUGGCUAUAUUGUGCUUUUGAAUACAUUGGUGGUGUUGUUAUGUGUUCUGGACCACCAACGGAGCCUACCAUUCAAAAUUCAGAUACUGUCUUUGCAGAAAAUCUUGGUGUACAUUUGUACGGUAUUCAAAGAGGUGACAUUGUGAUUGCAAAAAGCCCAAGUGAUCCAAAAUCAAAUAUUUGUAAAAAAGUAAUUGGAAGGAGACAAAAUCCUCGCCACUAGUCCAUCAGAUUUCUUUAAAAGCCGUAGUUAUGUGCCAGUGGGUCAUGUUUGGUUAGAAGGUGAUAAUCUACAGAAUUCUACAGAUUCCAGGUACUAUGGACCUAUUCCAUAUCGACUAAUAAGAGGACGAAUCUUCUUUAAGAUUUGGCCUCUGAGUGAUUUUGAGUUUUUACGUGCCAGCUCUAAUGGCCACAGAUUUUCUGAUGAUUGGUAA